rnacentral:rRNA from 1 species
UGCCAGCAGCCGCGGUAAUACGAAGGGUGCUAGCGUUAAUCGGAAUUACUGGGCGUAAAGCGCACGUAGGCGGACUGAUCAGUUGGGGGUGAAAUCCCAGGGCUCAACCCUGGAACUGCCUUCAAUACUGUCAGUCUUGAGUCCGAGAGAGGUGAGUGGAAUUCCUAGUGUAGAGGUGAAAUUCGUAGAUAUUAGGAAGAACACCAGUGGCGAAGGCGGCUCACUGGCUCGAUACUGACGCUGAGGUGCGAAAGUGUGGGAGCAAACAGGAUUAGAUA